rnacentral:rRNA from 1 species
UAGGGAAUAUUGCACAAUGAGCGAAAGCUUGAUGCAGCAACGCCGCGUGCGCGAUGACGGCCUUCGGGUUGUAAAGCGCUUUUCGGGGAGAUGAGGAAGGACAGUAUCCCCGGAAUAAGUCUCGGCUAACUACGUGCCAGCAGCCGCGGUAACACGUAGGAGGCAAGCGUUAUCCGAAUUUACUGGGCGUAAAGCGCGUGCAGGCGGUUCGGUAAGUUGGAUGUGAAAUCUCCCGGCUCAACUGGGAGGGGACGUUCAAUACUGUCGGACUUGAGGACGAUAGAGGGAGGUGGAAUUCCCGGUGUAGUGGUGAAAUGCGUAGAUAUCGGGAGGAACACCAGUGGCGAAAGCGGCCUCCUGGAUCGUUCCUGGCGCUCAGACGCGAAAG